CAGCGCCACGAGUGGUAACCACGUUUAUUGGGCCUAAAGCGUCCGUAGCCGGUUUGAUAAAUCUUUUGUGAAAUUGUACAGCUUAACUGUACAGCGUGCAAGAGACACUGUCAAACUUGAGACCGGGAGGAGUCAGAAGUAUUCCAGAGGGAGCGGUAAAAUGUUAUAAUCUCUGGAGGACUACCUGUGGCGAAGGCGUCUGACCAGAACGGAUCUGACGGUGAGGGACGAAAGCUAGGGGAGCGAACCGGAUUAGAUACCCGAGUAGCC
rnacentral:rRNA from 1 species